UCCUACGGGAGGCAGCAGUGGGGAAUUUUCCGCAAUGGGCGAAAGCCUGACGGAGCAACGCCGCGUGAGGGAUGAAGGCCUCUGGGCUGUAAACCUCUUUUAUCAAGGAAGAAGAUCUGACGGUACUUGAUGAAUAAGCCACGGCUAAUUCCGUGCCAGCAGCCGCGGUAAUACGGGAGUGGCAAGCGUUAUCCGGAAUUAUUGGGCGUAAAGCGUCCGCAGGCGGCCCUUCAAGUCUGCUGUUAAAAAGUGGAGCUUAACUCCAUCAUGGCAGUGGAAACUGUUGGGCUUGAGUGUGGUAGGGGCAGAGGGAAUUCCCGGUGUAGCGGUGAAAUGCGUAGAUAUCGGGAAGAACACCAGUGGCGAAGGCGCUCUGCUGGGCCAUCACUGACGCUCAUGGACGAAAGCCAGGGGAGCGAAAGGGAUUAGAUACCCCUGUAGUCCUGGCCGUAAACGAUGAACACUAGGUGUCGGGGGAAUCGACCCCCUCGGUGUCGUAGCCAACGCGUUAAGUGUUCCGCCUGGGGAGUACGCACGCAAGUGUGAAACUCAAGGAAUUUGACGGGGA
rnacentral:rRNA from 1 species